UAGUCCACGCCGUAAACGAUGGUCACUAGCUGUUUGGGCUUCGGUCUGAGUGGCUAAGCGAAAGUGAUAAGUGACCCACCUGGGGAGUACGUUCGCAAGAAUGAAACUCAAAGGAAUUGACGGGGGCCCGCACAAGCGGUGGAGCAUGUGGUUUAAUUCGAUGAUACGCGAGGAACCUUACCAGGGCUUAAAUGUAAGUUGCAUUAGCUAGAGAUAGCUAUUUCUUCGGACUACUUACAAGGUGCUGCAUGGUUGUCGUCAGCUCGUGCCGUGAGGUGUCAGGUUAAGUCCUAUAACGAGCGCAACCCCUGUUGUUAGUUGCCAGCGAGUCAAGUCGGGAACUCUAACAAGACUGCCGGUGCAAACCGUGAGGAAGGUGGGGAUGACGUCAAAUCAUCAUGGCCUUUAUGCCUAGGGCGACACACGUGCUACAAUGGUGCAUACAGAGGGUAGCGAAGCCGCGAGGUGGAGCUAAUCUCAGAAACUCACUCCCAGUUCGGAUU
rnacentral:rRNA from 1 species